rnacentral:rRNA from 1 species
UAGGGAAUCUUCGGCAAUGGACGGAAGUCUGACCGAGCAACGCCGCGUGAGUGAAGAAGGUUUUCGGAUCGUAAAGCUCUGUUGUAAGAGAAGAACGAGUGUGAGAGUGGAAAGUUCACACUGUGACGGUAUCUUACCAGAAAGGGACGGCUAACUACGUGCCAGCAGCCGCGGUAAUACGUAGGUCCCGAGCGUUGUCCGGAUUUAUUGGGCGUAAAGCGAGCGCAGGCGGUUAGAUAAGUCUGAAGUUAAAGGCUGUGGCUUAACCAUAGUAGGCUUUGGAAACUGUUUAACUUGAGUGCAAGAGGGGAGAGUGGAAUUCCAUGUGUAGCGGUGAAAUGCGUAGAUAUAUGGAGGAACACCGGUGGCGAAAGCGGCUCUCUGGCUUGUAACUGACGCUGAGGCUCGAAAGCGUGGGGAGCAAACAGGAUUAGAUACCCUGGUAGUCCACGCUGUAAACGAUGAGUGCUAGGUGUUAGACCCUUUCCGGGGUUUAGUGCCGUAGCUAACGCAUUAACACUCCGCCUGGGGAGUACGACCGCAAGGU